rnacentral:rRNA from 1 species
GGGCCCGCACAAGCGGUGGAGCAUGUGGUUUAAUUCGAUGCAACGCGAAGAACCUUACCUACUCUUGACAUCCAGAGAACUUAGCAGAGAUGCUUUGGUGCCUUCGGGAACUCUGAGACAGGUGCUGCAUGGCUGUCGUCAGCUCGUGUUGUGAAAUGUUGGGUUAAGUCCCGCAACGAGCGCAACCCUUAUCCUUGUUUGCCAGCACUUCGGGUGGGAACUCCAGGGAGACUGCCGGUGAUAAACCGGAGGAAGGUGGGGACGACGUCAAGUCAUCAUGGCCCUUACGAGUAGGGCUACACACGUGCUACAAUGGCGUAUACAGAGGGCUGCCAACUCGCGAGAGUGAGCGAAUCCCAGAAAGUACGUCGUAGUCCGGAUUGGAGUCUGCAACUCGACUCCAUGAAGUCGGAAUCGCUAGUAA